CAGUAGAACGCUGAAGGAAGGAGCUUGCUCUUUCCGGAUGAGUUGCGAACCGGUGAGUAACGCGUAGGUAACCUGCCUGGUAGUGGGGGAUAACUAUUGGAAACGAUAGCUAAUACCGCAUAAUAGUAGAUGUCGCAUGAUAUUUGCUUAAAAGGUGCAAUUGCAUCACUACCAGAUGGACCUGCGUUGUAUUAGCUAGUUGGUGAGGUAACGGCUCACCAAGGCAACGAUACAUAGCCGACCUGAGAGGGUGAUCGGCCACACUGGGACUGAGACACGGCCCAGACUCCUACGGGAGGCAGCAGUAGGGAAUCUUCGGCAAUGGACGGAAGUCUGACCGAGCAACGCCGCGUGAGUGAAGAAGGUUUUCGGAUCGUAAAGCUCUGUUGUAAGAGAAGAACGAGUGUGAGAGUGGAAAGUUCACACUGUGACGGUAUCUUACCAGAAAGGGACGGCUAACUACGUGCCAGCAGCCGCGGUAAUACGUAGGUCCCGAGCGUUGUCCGGAUUUAUUGGGCGUAAAGCGAGCGCAGGCGGUUAGAUAAGUCUGAAGUUAAAGGCUGUGGCUUAACCAUAGUACGCUUUGGAAACUGUUUAACUUGAGUGCAAGAGGGGAGAGUGGAAUUCCAUGUGUAGCGGUGAAAUGCGUAGAUAUAUGGAGGAACACCGGUGGCGAAAGCGGCUCUCUGGCUUGUAACUGACGCUGAGGCUCGAAAGCGUGGGGAGCAAACGGGAUUAGAUACCCUGGUAGUCCACGCCGUAAACGAUGAGUGCUAGGUGUUAGACCCUUUCCGGGGUUUAGUGCCGUAGCUAACGCAUUAAGCACUCCCCCUGGGGAGUACGACCG
rnacentral:rRNA from 1 species